rnacentral:lncRNA from 1 species
AGCUUAUUGUGAUGUUGAUAGCCCUUGCAAGGGUGUUCAAGUAAGUUAAAAAACCCUUCUAUCAUUUUUAUAUUUUUAUAUGUCGUUUAAGAUUUUGACACAUUUUUAAUAGCAUUAAUCAUGAAGUGAAUUUGACUAAAUUACCCUUACUUUUUCCAUAAAUGAGUGAUAAAUGAUUGUACGUCUUCUUCGAACAUUAAUUGGGAUAAAAAACUAGUUUUCUAAAACACAUACACAAAUUGUGAGCUUUUGCAUUUCAAACAGUUCAUUGUUUUCUUUUAUUUUUCUAAUUGGUGAAGUAGUUCUUAGUUUAAGAAUAUAUACAGUGCCUAAUGCAGCAUUAUGUUAAUUAAUUUCAGGUGAUUAAGAUGUCCAAGGAGGAGGAGGAGGAAAAGUAAAAAUAAAGUUUUAAUGUUUAAUUCCAGAUCAUGUAUUAGUAGAUGAUUUGCUAUUAAUUAUCCUUUAUGUUGAAAGUCUCUAUGUAAUGUUUUAAGUCUUCCUUGGGUUUCAGCAAUAAUUUGGCAUAUCUGUCAAAAAUCCUAAUUAGUACUAAUGAUAAAAAUAUU